CCAACCUCCCACCCGUGUUUACUGUACCUUAGUUGCUUCGGCGGGCCCGCCAUUCAUGGCCGCCGGGGGCUCUCAGCCCCGGGCCCGCGCCCGCCGGAGACACCACGAACUCUGUCUGAUCUAGUGAAGUCUGAGUUGAUUGUAUCGCAAUCAGUUAAAACUUUCAACAAUGGAUCUCUUGGUUCCGGCAUCGAUGAAGAACGCAGCGAAAUGCGAUAACUAGUGUGAAUUGCAGAAUUCCGUGAAUCAUCGAGUCUUUGAACGCACAUUGCGCCCCCUGGUAUUCCGGGGGGCAUGCCUGUCCGAGCGUCAUUGCUGCCCAUCAAGCACGGCUUGUGUGUUGGGUCGUCGUCCCCUCUCCGGGGGGGACGGGCCCCAAAGGCAGCGGCGGCACCGCGUCCGAUCCUCGAGCGUAUGGGGCUUUGUCACCCGCUCGGUAGGCCCGGCCGGCGCUUGCCGAACGCAAAUCAA
rnacentral:rRNA from 1 species